rnacentral:rRNA from 1 species
AGAUGCAGUCGAGCGACAGAUAUGAGGUUGCUCCUUCGACGUUACGCGGACGGCUGAUGUGACACGUGCGCAACCUACCUUUUCAUAACUUGGACACCGGGGCUAUACCGUAACUGUUACCUCAUUCAAAACGGAGACGACUGCUGUCCAUGGAGGCUCUAUACUAAUACUCCUCUGAUGAGGUACGUCCCGUAGUGGACCCCCUUAGCACCGACCUAGACGGGAUCAUGACGACUUUGGACGAUUUAACGUAUCACGACACCUCCUCAGGCAUGCCCGGAAUCCCUCAAUGGGCAAACCUUGAUGAGAACUAACGUCAGAGGGAGAAAGAUUUGCGGACUUAACACAUCUCACGGACGACUUGACCACACCAUUGUCCUCCCGGGCCUUUUGGAAAACCGUUUUCCGUGCAACCGGGGGGGAAAAACUUGAAGGGAAGUGGGCGGUAUAAUUAGCCAAAAGUUCCCCCGUGGGCGUAGCCUUAAUUAUUUGCGGUUAUGGCGGGUCGGGGGGGUUUGGGGUGGUUGGGGGGACC